AGGUAGGGCCGGGACAAGUAGGUCCUGGUAGUUCCGGGACAGGUAGGCCCGGGACAGGUAGUUCCGUUAUAGGUAGGUCUGGGACAGGUGUGUCUGGGACAGGUUUGUCCGGGACAGGUAGUUCCGGGACGGAUAUUUCCGGGACAGGUAGGUCCGGGACAGGUAAGGCCGGGGCAGGUAAUCCGGGAAAGGUAGAUCCGGGACAGGUAGGACAGCUGUAUUCAACACGUUGAUGAUGUUUUCACUCCGUAGUGAGGCUCAGCGAAGGGUUAGUGGUCCAGGGAGUCCUGGGUUAGUCCUGUGUCCGGGACCACAACGACUUGAGCUGUCGAGUGUGACUUAAUUGAAUGACUAGUUGUGAGAGUUAACUAAAUUAAGUUAGUUGUCGAUUGAGUUUACAAAACAGCGAGUUUACAAAGUCGAUGUCGA